CUGAAUAACUCAGCCGAUCGCACACUCCUGCAGUGGCGACGCAUCUUUCAAGUGUCUGCCUUAUCAACUGUUGAUGGUAGUUUACGUGACUACCAUGGUUGUAACGGGUAACGGAGAAUCAGGGUUCGACUCCGGAGAGGCAGCCUGAGAAACGGCUACCACAUCCAAGGAAGGCAGCAGGCGCGCAAAUUACCCACUCUCGGCACGAGGAGGUAGUGACGAGAAAUAACGAGGCGUCUCUCUUUGAGGGUCGCUAUCGGAAUGAGGACAAUGUAAACGCCUUACCGAAUGCUAUCAGAGGGCAAGUCUGGUGCCAGCAGCCGCGGUAAUUCCAGCUCUGAAGGUGUAUACCACCGUUGUUGCGGUUAAAAA
rnacentral:rRNA from 1 species